rnacentral:rRNA from 1 species
AUUGAACGCUGGCGGCAGGCCUAACACAUGCAAGUCGAACGAGUGGCGGACGGGUGAGUAAUGUCUGGGAAACUGCCUGAUGUAGGGGGAUAACUCCUGGAAACGGUAGCUAAUACCGCAUACCAUCAGAUGUGCCCAGAUGGGAUGAGCUAGUAGGUGGGGUAACGGCUCACCUAGCCGACGAUCCCUAGCUGGUCUGAGAGGAUGACCAGCCACAUUGGACUUGAGACACUGGCCAGACUCCUACGGGAGGCAGCAUGGGGGAAUAUUGCACAAUGGGCGCAAGCCUGAUGCAGCCAUGCCGCGUGUAUGAAGAAGGCCUUCGGGUUGUAAAGUACUUUCAGCGGGGAGGCGUUACCCGCAGAAGAAGCACCGGCUAACUCCGUGCCAGCCGCCGCGGUAAUAC